rnacentral:rRNA from 1 species
UAGUCCACGCCGUAAACGAUGUCAACUAGCCGUCGGGCUCAAUAUAAGGGUUUGGUGGCGAAGCUAACGCGAUAAGUUGACCGCCUGGGGAGUACGCCGGCAACGGUAAAACUCAAAGGAAUUGACGGGGGCCCGCACAAGCGGUGGAGCAUGUGGUUUAAUUCGAUGCAACGCGAAGAACCUUACCUACCCUUGACAUCCUCAGAACUUGUAAGAGAUUACUUGGUGCCUUCGGGAACUCUAAAAAGACUGCCGGUUAUAAACCGGAGGAAGGCGGGGAUGACGUCAAGUCAGCAUGCCCCUUACACCCUGGGCUAUACACGUGCUACAAUGGGCGAGACAAUGAGUUGCAAACCUGUGAAGGUAAGCUAAUCUAUAAACUCGUUCUAAGUUCGGAUUGUAGGCUGCAACUCGCCUGCAUGAAGUUGGAAUCGCUAGUAAUCGCUGGUCAGCAUACAGCGGUGAAUUCGUUCCCGGGCCUUGCACACACCGCCCGU